rnacentral:tRNA from 1 species
GUUAAAUUAGUCAGCUAAAUAAGCUAAUGGGUUCAUACCUCAUAAAUGAGAUAUUUCUUUCU